rnacentral:rRNA from 1 species
GCUCAGGACGAACGCUGGCGGCGUGCCUAAUACAUGCAANGUCGANGCGGACUUGAUGGAGUGCUUGCACUCCUGAUGGUUAGCGGCGGACGGGUGAGUAACACGUAGGUAACCUGCCCAUAAGACUGGGAUAACCCACGGAAACGUGAGCUAAUACCAGAUAGGCAUUUUCCUCGCAUGAGGGAAAUGAGAAAGGCGGAGCAAUCUGUCACUUAUGGAUGGACCUGCGGCGCAUUAGCUAGUUGGUGAGGUAACGGCUCACCAAGGCGACGAUGCGUAGCCGACCUGAGAGGGUGAUCGGCCACACUGGGACUGAGACACGGCCCAGACUCCUACGGGAGGCAGCAGUAGGGAAUCUUCCGCAAUGGACGAAAGUCUGACGGAGCAACGCCGCGUGAGUGAUGAAGGUUUU